UGCUAGGAGGCUGGAGAG
rnacentral:misc_RNA from 1 species